rnacentral:lncRNA from 1 species
UUUGGGUACUUUUUGAGAGAAAUAGCUAUGGUUUUAGGUCAAUAGUGUUGGCUGAUGCUAGUUGCUACCUUGGCUGGGGUCUUAGUAUCUCUGGAUAGUAUUUGUGGGCAGCUGUUACAUCUGGACACGACAUGUCCUGUUGGUCAUUCACCUUCCCAGGGGGAGUGCAAGUGUGUAUCAGCAUCUGACAUCCUGUGUUGGGAAGGCAGCAUUCUAAACGAGCAAAUUUGUUCAGAAACUCCAAGUUUCUGAAAUGGUUUAUCUAGUCCAAGGCUUUGACAGGGAAUAUGAGAUCUUAUUAGAGGGCAAAGAAAUUUCAAUAUAUUCUAUGUGAACAGAUGUGAACAUAGUCUAGUUGCAGAUCUUUACAUUUGGGGUCAAAAAAUGAAAGAUAUACUUUUCUUAGUAUGGAAGGCAGAUUGAGGUUAAGGGGAAUUGCAACUUGACCUCAAAGAAUAUUUAAGUGUCUUUAAAUGAUUACCAAGUUAGUCCUCAUAUAAAAGGGCAACUGAUUAACGAGGUUCAUUACUAUUUUUUAUAUUUAUUUAUUUGGCCAUGCCCGUGACAUGUGGAAAUUCUCAGGCCACGGAUUGGAUCAGUGCCACAGCAGUGCCACGGCAGAGAUAAUGCCGGAUCUUUAACUGAUAGGCCAUGAGGGAAUUCCUCUUUCUUAUUUUUUAAACCAGUUAUUCGAAUAAUGAGUUAGGAAGUUUACUUAAAAAAUCCCAUUCCCUUCUAGGUAUAUGUAAACCAACCUAUGGACCAUGGAGACUGCAAUAGUCUAACUUUUUAUUUUUUUUCUUUUUAUGGUUGUACCUGUGGCAUAUAGAAGUUCUCAGGUUAAGGGUUGAAUCAGAGCUGCAGCUGAGGCCUACACCACAGCCACAGCAACACCAGAUUUGAGUCACCUCUGUGACCUACACCACAGCUUGUGGCAACGUCAGAUCCUUAACCCACUGAGUGUGGCCAGGGAUCAGACCUGCAUCCUCACAGAGACAACGUCAGGUCCUGUACCAUAACAGGAACUCCAUAGUAGCCUAACUUUGAUAACUUGCUCCUGGAUAUGAGAAGGGGGCCUUGGUUUUAAUAUGGCAUAUUGAAACAAUUGCCAUUCUAUUUCCCCCCUGCUCCCAGGAUUUUCUGGACUUUGUGACUGGAUAUGGUGUCUUUGAGACUUGAGUCAUUGUUGGAAUUCUAGCUAUGGGUGCUGUCAUGGCUGUGAGUUUUCAAUGACUGGGAUGUGUCUGUGGAUGUGUCUCUGCUAUUGGUUGGGGCUACAGAAGCCCCCGUUUGCUGUGGAAGAUAUUGGUCAUCUAGAAUCUCCCACAUUUUAACAGGGGACUUCUACACCUCGAUCACCAUGACAUAUCGUCUCAUCUGCUUGCUAGGUCUAGUUCCUAUAUUGUUUUUUUGGUAACUGAUUUUCCUGUUCCUUCUUGUACUUGGGAAUCCAAAUGCAUUAUGUUGAAGUGACUUUUUAAUUCAAACUCGAUUGACUGGAAUUAAUUUUACCUGAAGUUCUUCAGAUACUCCCUAUUUAAAAGUCCAUUUUCCUCUUAAUGGAAUGCUAUGCUUGGAUGAUGGAGCUUAGAGUUCACUUUCAUUCAAGUUGGGGCCAUUUUGCUAUGCUGAUUUAUUCUAAAUAUUCUUCUCCUGAAGUAGCAAUUGUUGGUCCUCUUUUCUGAUUUUAGGGGUCUAUUUUGCUGUAUUGUUGCUGUUCUUAUGCAUUUUUUUCUUUGUGUAUUUAGUUUGAAUUCUGAGUUUAUAUCUGUAGCAUGGAUCCUAGAAUAGUUUGUCUGCCAGUUUUGCUUUCUUCAUUCCUAAAUUUGCCCUCUGUUUGACUUGCUUAUGAUUUUGAAUUUGCAGAGGAUUAUGUUUGAACAGAUUUUUUUUUUUCUAUCCUGAAAACCUGUUCAGAUCUAUGUCCAGACUUUGGACUUUCUUUUAGGAUUGUGGUCCUUUAAGAGUCCUCUCCAUUUGACCACUGUUGAAACAUUAAAGCAUUUUGAAACUAUAUGGUCCCAAAAAUGUCCAAAGAAGAGCAUUUCUGUGUCCUGAAAUAAUGUAGCACCUUUCCAAUGGAUCCAGAGAUAAAAUAUUACCUAAGAAAUUCUCCAGAGGACUGAGCAUAUUUACUGGGAUAUUUCUGAGUAAAGGAUUGAAGUACUUAAUUAUUAGCCUUCUGGAUUUUUAACUUGUUUUAUGGGUUGAGUACCCAGAGGAAUGAAUGAAAAACAUACACUUACACUUUCUAAAAAGUAGUACUGAGGGGACCAUGGAUAGCAUCCACAAAAUUAAUCAUUUUAGACAAUAUUUCUAAUGCUAUCCUGAGUGUUUAUAGAUUACAUAACUGAUUAAGGGAAAACCAUAGGCAUUCAGAAGGCAUGGUCAUAUCUAUUAUAUAAAUGUCUUUUAGUCAUUGUUGAUAAUAUUGGGGAGCAUGGGAACAAUAUAAUUUCUAAAAUGUAUGGUAUUCACAUUAUAUUAAUUAAUCUUCAUGAGAAAAGCACAAUACACAUAAAAACCUUUAUACUCUUAUGUUUAGUUUGUCAAGAUAUUGAUAUAGGUUAUUGCAUGGAGAUAAAAGAGCCUAUCAAUAGGUAGGUAUGUAGAAUUCAUCCUGGCUGAAAGGUGCAGCAUGCUCUAGAUUGUGUGCUAGAAACAUGUUUCGCACUAAUAGAUAAGCAUAUAUUCUGUUUCAAGACGAAAAGGAACAGAAAAAGUAAGGAAAUGUAUUGGCCAGGUAUAUACAGAAUAAAUUAAACACCUGCCUUGGCUUCAGCCUCUAGAAAUUUGAACAACCUAAUGUCCACUCUCUGAACUUUUCAUUAUUUCUGAUCCAGCGAUGGUUCCAGUAGUGUGAUGAUUAUCAGUUAUCUAGGCAAGGCAUGUUGUUGAGAUUUGUGGUUAUUUGAGUAUUUACUUCAAAUACAGGCAAACAGUGCAGAUGUAAGUGGAACUACCCAUGUGUUUGUAGAUUGAGGUAUUCAUGAUUAUAAGAGAAAUGUGCUGCAGUCAUUAGCAAUGAUGAUGAAAGCUGUUGAUUUUUGGAUCAGAAGUAUUAGGAACGGAAAAGAAUUUAAGCAGUGAAAUGCCUUGAUAACCAAUUCAAAUAUUGUGAGUGUUUGCUAUCUAGAUUAGCGUUUAUCAGAUUUUAAUGUAGGCCCAUGAUAGUGUGAUUUGUAACAAGAGAUAUGUAUUUGAUCUUUGUUCCUGUUUCUGCCACAGAGCUCCUACAACCCUAAAAUGUUUUAAAUGAUGAGAACUAUGAAGACGUCUUUUGUUACAUUAAUGAGGUGAUAUUUGAACCCUGCCUAAGGAUGGGGGCCAGUUCCCAGGGGAGCAAACCCUGUGAUUAGAGGGUUGGGUUUGUUAGCCGCAUCCCCAUGACCUCCAAGGAUGGAAGGGAGGUGGAAAAAGAAUCAGAGCAGUAUGCAAUAGCCAGUGACUUAACCAAUCAUGCCAAUGUCAUGAAGUCACCAUGAAAACCCAAAAGAACAGGAUCUGGAAAGUUUCCAGGUUGGUGAACAUGUUAAGCUUGGAGAAAGUGGUGUAUUUGGAGGGAACGUGGAAGCUCCGUGCCCCUUCACAAUACAUUGCCUAUGCAUCUCCUCCAUCUGGCUGUUCUUGAGUCAUAUUCUUUUAUAAUAAACAGGUGCUGAGUCAGUAACAUAUUUCUCUGAGUUCUGCAAGCUACUUCAGUAAGUUAAAUAAACCCAAGUAGGGUUUGUUGGAAGCUCUAAUUUAUAGCAGGUUGUGGGCUUGUGAUUGACACUUGAAAUGGGGAGAUGGGUAAUUCUGUAAGACUGAGCCCUUAACCUGUGGGAUCUGGUACCUUCUAUGAGUAGACAGUAUCAGAAUUGAGUAAACUGUAGAACAUCUAGCUGGAAGGCAGCUAUGCUCACCACUGUACCACCUGCUAGAACAUCUAGCUGGUAAUCUGAGAAUUGCUUGGUGGUGGGGGGAAAGUCUACCCCCUCCACCACUGGAAAUGGGUGCAGAACCCAAUUUAGGGACCAAAAUGCACAAGAUUUUAUUAAAAAUAAAGUUCCAAUUCAUGGGUCUGGAUUGGGGCCUAGUAUUCCUCUUUUCUAGUUUUAACUGAAAGAAAAACCAUACAAAUUAAGAGCUGUGAGUUAAAUUUUAUUCAGGGUCUUAAUGACUAAAGCCUUGGAAACAGCCUCUAAGUAGCUCUGAGGGAACUGGUCCGAUGCAAUAGGGGAAGAAGACAGUAUAUAGAGGAAAUACAUGCAGCCAAGCACACAUCUUUGUAAAAAGUUACUGCUAGUUACAAGAAACGUGUAUCACCAUUAAUGAUUUUAGUGCUUUUCAAUGUGUGGAAGAAUCUGGAUUCAUUAUAAUUCUUCCUAAAAUAUAAUCUAUCUAAAGGGCCUGUUUUUACAAAACACAGAGUGCCUCAUUCUGCUUUUUUGUCUGCAGCUCUGUUCAGGUUGCAAUGUCAGUCAGCAACUGCAGUGGCUAGUGACUUAAUCCUUAUAGAACUGAAUAUUGGGUAACAUUCUUUGCUUCACAUUAGUAAGCCCCCAGGAGAUGCUGAUGCUGCUGGUUUGAGGACUACACUUUCAGUACCAAAGAUCUAGAUAACCUUAGGAUGAAUAUAAUGUGCCUUUCGAGUUAACAAAUAUUUUUAUUUUUAAUGACUAUUUAUUUAUUUAUUUAUUAGGGCUGCACCUGUGGCACAUGGAAGUCCCAGGCUAGGGGUUGAAUAAGAGCUGCAGCUGCUGGCCUACACCACAACCACAGCAAUGCAGAAUCCAAGCCUCAUCUGCAACCUACACCAUAGCUCAUGGCAAUGCCAGAUCCUUAACCUACUGAGCGAGGCCAGGGAUCGAACCUACAUUCUCGUGGAUACUAGUUGGAUUC